rnacentral:sRNA from 1 species
CGCCACCCGACUUGGCACAAGCGCUGCAUUGGUUAAUCCAACACCCCACAUAUAGCCGCCCCUUCAACGUCGAAGGGGCGAGUUUCCCGAGAGAACGGGACCAGGACAAAGGCGUCCUCGCUGGAUAAACAGCGGGGACGCC